UAUCUCUAGAGAUACGGAAGCGCCCUUCGGGGCUUAAUAGGGAAUCCCGUUCAAAUCGGGAGCGGACCCGCCGCCGUGCGCCGAACUGAUGCCGCUUUUCCUUGCGCGCCACUGGAUUCGCUCCGGGAAGGCCGAAAAGCGAGCCGGCAAGCCGGAAGACCUGCUUUCAUUCAUCGUCUUUG
rnacentral:ncRNA from 2 species